CCCCUAGAUGUUCUGGGCCGCACGCGCGCUACACUGAACAGUUCAACAAGUCUUAACCUUGGCCGAUAGGUCUGGGUAAUCUUUGAACGCUGUUCGUGAUUGGGAUAGACCUUUGCAAUUAUGGGUCUUCAACGAGGAAUUCCUAGUAAACGCAAGUCAUCAGCUUGCAUUGAUUACGUCCCUGCCCUUUGGACACACCGCCCGUCGCACCUACCGAUUGAAUGGUCCGGUGAAAUCUCGGGACGGCGGCUUGGUCGCUUGCGUCCGACUGCUGAAACUUGAUUAAACCAUAUCAUUUAGAGGAAGGUGAAGUCGUAACA
rnacentral:rRNA from 1 species